ACUCAAAGGAAUUGACGGGGACCCGCACAAGCAGCGGAGCGUGUGGUUUAAUUCGAUGCAACGCGAAGAACCUUACCAAGGCUUGACAUGUGCUUGCAAUCCCUCGAAAGAGGGCCCUCCGCAAGGACAGGCACACAGAUGUUGCAUGGCUGUCGUCAGCUCGUGUCGUGAGAUGUUGGGUUAAGUCCCGCAACGAGCGCAACCCUUGUCCUUAGUUGACUAUCUAGGGAGACCGCCGGAAACAAACCGGAGGAAGGUGGGGAUGACGUCAAGUCAGCAUGACUCUUACGUCUUGGGCUACACACACGCUACAAUGGCCGCUACAGCGAGAAGCCACCCUGCGAAGGGGAGCAGAUCUCUAAAAGGUGGCCCCAGUUCAGAUUGCACUCUGCAACCCGAGUGCAUGAAGUCGGAGUUGCUAGUAACCGCGUGUCAGCAUAGCGCGGUGAAUAUGUUCCCGGGUCUUGUACACACCGCCCGU
rnacentral:rRNA from 1 species